rnacentral:rRNA from 1 species
CGUGUAGGCGGUUUGGCAAGUCAGAUGUGAAAGCCCUGGGCUCAACCCGGGAAGUGCAUUUGAAACUGCUUCACUAGAGUAUGGGAGAGGAGAUUGGAAUUCCUGGUGUAGAGGUGAAAUUCGUAGAUAUCAGGAGGAACACCCGUGGCGAAGGCGAUUCUCUGGACCAAUACUGACGCUGAGACGCGAAAGCGUGGGGAGCAAACA